rnacentral:lncRNA from 1 species
CAGAGGCUGGGAAGGGACAGAGGAGGAAGAGGAGUUGGUCAGUGGGAACAAAAAUAGUUAGAUAGAAGGAAUAAGUUCUAGUAUCCGAUGGUAUAGCAGGGAAGUGAUAGUUAACAAUAAUUUAUUGUCUUUAUCAAAAUAGCUAGAAAAACGGUGAUGCCAACUCAAAAAUGUUUGAGGUGAUAGAUUUCCCAAUCACCCGAGUUGAUUAUUACACAUUAUAUACAGGUAUCAAGAUAUUAUAUGUUCCCCCAUAUAUAUAUACAACUGUUAUGUUUCAAUUUUGUAAAAGAAAAGAAAAAGGACCUUAGUGAAAUGGGAAAAGUUCCCUUGUCCUUCUCGCGGGGUGUGUGACACGAGGAGUGGCUGGCUUCUCCAGCGCCCCACUGCUCAAACCUCUAGGGAGCAUACAGACUGGCAGACUGUGGGGCUACAACCCCACAGCAGUGUGAGCGGUGGAUGUUCACAGCUCCUGAAGCCCCAGUGGGCAUGCGCUACCAUACACUGUUUUAGUUUUGUGGUCUACAGGCCACUCGUGUUAACCUCAGUUAGACCCUCUGCCUUGUUGCAAGAACAGAGGGCUUUUCUACAUCCCGGAUGGUGCUUGCCUUGGUGUAAAGGAAGAAUUGGAUCACACCUGGGCUUGGAGAAUGAGUGCAAGAUUUUACUGAGUGGAGGCGGCUCUCAGCAGAUGGGGGAAACCAGAAGGGGACAGAGUAGGAAAGUUUCCUUUGGAGUCAGACUGCUCAGCAGCCUGAGCUCUCCUCCAAUUGCCCCAGCCAAGCCCCGCAUCAUUCUGCUUCUGCGGUGAGAAAGUGCCUGCUGCUCCCCUGCUCUCCAACACUCAGAAAAUGCUCUACAAAUCCAUGAACACAGAAGAUUGCCUAUCCUGCUGGAGCUAAAAAUGUUCAACAGCCACAUGCUUGAUCUUUGAGACUUCCAAGCCCAGGGGCCCUUGGAGAUCUUUCCACGGGAGCUCCUGCCCCAGUUUCAGGAUAGUGGGAGUCAGGGGAGACUGGAACACAGAUGAGAAUUGCAGCUGGGCAGGAAGGCCCUGAGGGCACUCAGCAGUCACCCUGGAGUUGUAAAUGGCAGGGCCCUAGCCAGCUACAGACCCGCCAGCCAGUUGCACAGCUUACAUCAAAGGCUCGAGAUGCCCGGCUGUGGGUUUAAAUGGAGCCCAGGUGUAGCUGGCAAACUCCCUCUCUUCUCCCCCACUGAGAUACACCUCCACUUUACACUCUGAGCUUGGCAGCCUCAGCAUGACCAGGGCUGUGGGGUCAGAGUUGCACUCAGACUUGCCAGCUAGGAGUGCUCACUUAGGCUUGGUGACUGGGACCCACCCUAUGAAUAGAGCAGAGAUGCUGUGUUGGACCAACUGCUGUUCCAGAAUCAAGUGAUUCAGGUCAUGUGUGUAAGCCAAUAAAUAAAAAGUUCAAUGUCGCCUAUGGAGAAAAAAAUUAUGUACCUCCUUAUUUCAAAUUUCAUGAAAAGAGGUAAGUACAAAGAAUACAAAAUCAAUUAAAACUCCACCAUGCAGAAACAACCAUCACAAACAUUUGUUCACUAUCAUUCCAUGUAUCUCUCGGUGCAAAUAUACAGACGGAAAAAAAGCUGGAAGGAAGGAAGAACUGACGACUGGAUGGAUGAGUGGAUGGAUGGGCGGAUGGACAGACAGAUGGGUAGGCGGGUGAGUCCAUAGAUGGGCACCCAAGUUACAGAUGUGAUUCUAGAAAUAAUCCUGCUGUACAUGUUAUUUUGAACUGAAAAUGUGUUCUUUUCUUUAGAAACUAUUACCUGUUGCUUUCUUCCUCUAAGUACAGGAGCAAGAUAUUCUUAAUGCAGAAAUCUGGAGAUCACAGAACACAAAGAAAAACAUGCACUCAUAUUCUAACACCAGAAGAUGACUGUUAACAUAUCUGCAUAUGUGUGUAUACAGGACUGAAU